rnacentral:lncRNA from 1 species
AGAAUUUAGAUAUAUGGUUAUAAUUGCAAAGUAUUCAAAAAUGAUUUCCCACACUUCAUUUUUGGUAAUUAAAUUGUAUUUUUUCUGGCUUUUUUACAGUGACAUUUUCUUUGCCUGUUUUCAUUUUACUCUUUUAAUAUAUAUAAAUAAUAUAGGGUGAUCAAAAAGUCAUGCAAUUCAAAAAUUCAUUGUAUGUAUUUAUCAUACAUUUUAUUUUUUUAUAACUAUAAAAUAACAAAAAGCAGAGAUCUAGCAGGUCUGUCAACCAUGAUAAUGUCACAAACAAAAAUCCUAUUUAAAAAAAUAUUUUGCAAAUUAUACUGUCAGUUUUACAAUAUAUUAAAGUUUAGGCUGUGUUUUCUUUUUUUCCUCUCCUUAUUAUCGUGUACUUUUGUGAAUCCUUGAAAAGCUAGAAAAGUUUAUUUUAUAAAAUUUUGCUGGUAUCUUGGUGAAUAUAUAAAUCAAAUAAAUCAUAUCAAAUGAAAAUUUUCAUAAAAUAUUGAAUUUUUUCCAUUUCUGACACAAAAGAACUUUGCUGUAAUUAGAGUAGGAAAAUAGGCCAGUUUACAGCAAUCAUCUCUAAUGAAAAUCCAGUGUCAGCUGUGUGUGUUUAAUAUUUGAUCCAGUUGAAAUUUAUGCUUUUUCUUGAUUUUAAUUGAACAACAAAAUAUUUAUCAUGUAUAUUGCUUCAUUAUUGUAUAGACUUUCUCUGGAAACAUCGAAUACAACAGAAAUGGAAAUUACAAAUAUUUAAAUAAACUGAAAAAAAACUACUUCUACACUGCCAAGAUAAUACAAAC